UGAGAAUAUUUUCAGGUCAGGCCUGCCCGCUGAUUUUUGAAUGGCCGCGGUAUUUUGACCGUGCAAAGGUAGCAUAAUAACUAGUUUUUUAAUUGAAAGCUUGAAUGAAAGGUUUAAUGAAAAAAUAACUGUCUCUAGGAAAGUUUGAGUAGAAUUUUAUUUUUAAGUAAAAAGGCUUAGAUUUUUGUGAAAGACGAGAAGACCCUAUAGAGUUUGAUAAAUGAAUAAUGUCCAAGAGUAAGGAAAAUAGAUAAUCUUGGUCCUGUGUAAUUUAUUUUAUUGGGGUGAUAGGAAAAUUAAGAAAACUUUUCUUUUUUUUCUAUACUAAUAAGUAUAUGAAUGAUCCUUAAAUUAAGAUUAAAAGAAUAAAUUACCUUAGGGAUAACAGCGUAAUUUUUUUUAGAGUUCUUAUCGAAGAAAAAGUUUACGACCUCGAUGUUGGAUUAAAAUUAAUUUUUGGUGUAGUAGCUAAUAAGAUUAGGUCUGUUCGACCUUUAAAAUUUUACAUGAUCUGAGUUUAAACCGGUGUGAGCCAGG
rnacentral:rRNA from 1 species